rnacentral:tRNA from 1 species
GGGGCCAUAGCUCAGUUGGGAGAGCAUCUGCCUUGCAAGCAGAGGGUCGGCGGUUCGACUCCGCCUGGCUCCAUCA